AAAAUCAUUUAAAAUGGGAGAGUGCCCCAAACCAGCACUUUAAAUCUACUGAAUCCAGACUCAGUGUUAUAACAAUAGCCACUAUUUCAUCAUUAUAUAAUACUAAUACUAAUACUAAUACUAAUAAUUCCCCUAGGCUCCAAGCUCCAUCAGGGUAGGAAUUUUUGACUGUUUUUCUUUUUUCUUUCCACUAUUUCCAGUGCCUGGUGCAAGUUACUUGAUACAAAUUUGUCGAGCACAUAAUGCUAAUUUUAAAAUGAUGUUGUUUCUGCUUGAAACCCCGUCUCUACUAAAUAUACAGAAAAUUAGCUGGGUGUGGUGGUGGGCACCUGUAGUCCCAGCUACUUGGGAGGCUGAGGC
rnacentral:lncRNA from 1 species